rnacentral:lncRNA from 1 species
GGGUGACAUCGUGCAUGAUUGUUACUUUGGGAUUGCGUGUGUGGCUGUUUGCGACGACGGGAACGGGGCUUGCGGGGCUGUGUGUGACUCUUGCCCUUGUUACUGAGUGUAUGUAGAGGGAUUGUCUUUCUAGUCCGGGUUGUGAGUGUGAUGGUACGACCGUGAAUGUGAAUCUGAGUGCCUGCGUGUGACCAUUCGUCACACUGACGUUACUGACUGGUAAGAGUUUGGUGGCGAGGGGAAGUGGAGAUGGCCGAGCAUAUCGUCAUUCUGCUGUCUCUGUUGUGAGUCCUUCUAGCUGUGGCAUGUGGGACGCUGCCUCAGCGUGGCCAGAUGAGCAGCACCGUGUCCAUGCCAAGGAUCCGAACCAGCAAAACCCUGGGCCACCAAAGUGGAGCGCCUGAACUUAGCCACUCAGCCAGGGGCCCAGCCCCGCUAUACAGUUUCCUCUUG